rnacentral:rRNA from 1 species
GUGAUGAUUCAUAAUAACUGAUCGGAUCAAGGUGUACCUUGAUAGAUCAUUCAAGUUUCUGCCCUAUCAGCUUUCGAUGGUAGUGUAUUGGACUACCAUGGCAGUCACGGGUAACGGAGAAUUAGGGUUCGAUUCCGGAGAGGGAGCCUGAGAAACGGCUACCACAUCUACGGAAGGCAGCAGGCGCGUAAAUUACCCAAUCCUGAUUCAGGGAGGUAGUGACAAGAAAUAACAACUCGGGGCCUCACGGCUUACGAGAUUGCAAUGAGAACAAUUUAAAUCUCUUAGCGAGGAACAAUUGGAGGGCAAGUCUGGUGCCAGCAGCCGCGGUAAUUCCAGCUCCAAUAGCGUAUAUUAAAGUUGUUGCAGUUAAAAAAGCUCGUAGUUGAAUUUCUGUAUUAUGGAUGUAGCGGUUUCCGUUACAUUUGUAGUCAU